rnacentral:rRNA from 1 species
UGCCAGCCGCCGCGGUAAUACGGGAGUGGCAAGCGUUAUCCGGAAUUAUUGGGCGUAAAGCGUCCGCAGGCGGCCUUGUAAGUCUGUUGUUAAAGCGUGGAGCUCAACUCCAUUUAAGCAAUGGAAACUACAAGGCUGGAGUGUGGUAGGGGCAGAGGGAAUUCCCGGUGUAGCGGUGAAAUGCGUAGAUAUCGGGAAGAACACCAGUGGCGAAGGCGCUCUGCUGGGCCAUAACUGACGCUCAUGGACGAAAGCCAGGGGAGCGAAAGGGAUUAGAUACCCCUGUAGUCCUGGCCGUAAACGAUGAACACUAGGUGUCGGGGGAAUCGACCCCCUCGGUGUCGUAGCCAACGCGUUAAGUGUUCCGCCUGGGGAGUACGCACGCAAGUGUGAAACUCAAAGGAAUUGACGGGGGCCCGCACAAGCGGUGGAGUAUGUGGUUUAAUUCGAUGCAACGCGAAAAACCUUGCCUAUACUUGACAUACUUGGAAUGCUUUGUAAUGAAAGCA